GAGGAAUAGGAGGAAUAGGUGGAGGAUAUUAAUGUAGAGGAGGAAUAGGUGGAGGAUAUUAAUGUAGAGGAGGAAUAGGUGGAGGAUAUUAAUGUAGAGGAGGAAGGAGGAAUAGGAGGAGGAAUAGGAGGAGGAUAUUAAUGUAGAGGAGGAAUAGGAGGAGGAUAUUAAUGUAGAGGAGGAAGGAGGAAUAGGAGGAGGAAUAGGAGGAGGAUAUUAAUGUAGAGGAGGAAUAGGGGGCAUAGGAGGAGGAAUAGGUGGAGGAUAUUAAUGUAGAGGAGGAAUAGGGGGCAUAGGAGGAGGAAGGAGGAAACACUUGAAUGAAUAUGCAUGAAUGACUGUGUGUGUGUGUCGUGUGUGUGCUGUGUAUCACCAGCCAGCCAGCACACCAUUCCUGAUCAAUGUCAUUCCACAAGAUCUGGGCCUGUAUUUACACUGUUUCUCAUCAAUGUCAUUCCACAAGAUCUGGGCCUGUAUUUACACUGUUUCUCAUCAACGUCAUUCCACAAGAUCUGGGCCUG
ensembl:lncRNA